rnacentral:rRNA from 1 species
UGCCAGCCGCCGCGGUAAUACUGAAGGGGCAAACGUUGUUCGGAUUCACUGGGCGUAAAGCGACCGCAGGCGGUUUAUUAAGUCAGAUGUGAAAGCCCCGCGCUCAACGUGGGAACUGCAUUUGAAACUGAUAAACUAGAGUUUGAGAGAGGAGAAUGGAAUUCCAAGUGUAGAGGUGAAAUUCGUAGAUAUUUGGAGGAACAUCAGAGGCGAAGGCGAUUCUCUGGCUCAAUACUGACGCUCAGGGUCGAAAGUGUGGGGAGCAAACAGGAUUAGAUA